rnacentral:rRNA from 1 species
AACGAACGCUGGCGGCAUGCCUAACACAUGCAAGUCGAACGAGACCUUCGGGUCUAGUGGCGCACGGGUGCGUAACGCGUGGGAACCUGCCCUUAGGUUCGGAAUAACUCCCCGAAAGGGGUGCUAAUACCGGAUAAUGUCUUCGGACCAAAGAUUUAUCGCCUUUGGAUGGGCCCGCGUUGGAUUAGCUAGUUGGUAGGGUAAAAGCCUACCAAGGCGACGAUCCAUAGCUGGUCUGAGAGGAUGAUCAGCCACACUGGGACUGAGACACGGCCCAGACUCCUACGGGAGGCAGCAGGGGGGAAUAUUGAACAAUGGGCGAAAGCCUGAUCCAGCAAUGCCGCGUGAGUGAUGAAGGACUUAGGGUUGUAAAGCUCUUUUACCCGGGAUGAUAAUGACAGUACCGGGAGAAUAAGCUCCGGCUAACUCCGU